AUUGAACGCUGGCGGCAGGCCUAACACAUGCAAGUCGAGCGGAUGACGGGAGCUUGCUCCUUGAUUCAGCGGCGGACGGGUGAGUAAUGCCUAGGAAUCUGCCUGGUAGUGGGGGACAACGUUUCGAAAGGAACGCUAAUACCGCAUACGUCCUACGGGAGAAAGCAGGGGACCUUCGGGCCUUGCGCUAUCAGAUGAGCCUAGGUCGGAUUAGCUAGUAGGUGAGGUAAUGGCUCACCUAGGCGACGAUCCGUAACUGGUCUGAGAGGAUGAUCAGUCACACUGGAACUGAGACACGGUCCAGACUCCUACGGGAGGCAGCAGUGGGGAAUAUUGGACAAUGGGCGAAAGCCUGAUCCAGCCAUGCCGCGUGUGUGAAGAAGGUCUUCGGAUUGUAAAGCACUUUAAGUUGGGAGGAAGGGCAGUAAGCUAAUACCUUGCUGUUUUGACGUUACCGACAGAAUAAGCACCGGCUAACUCUGUGCCAGCCGCCGCCGUAA
rnacentral:rRNA from 1 species